UCCGUUGUGGUCCAACGGCUAGGAUUCGUCGCUUUCACCGACGGGAGCGGGGUUCGACUCCCCGCAACGGAGCCA
rnacentral:tRNA from 1 species